rnacentral:rRNA from 1 species
AGUAAAUAGAUACCCAGGUAGUCCACGCUGUAAACGAUGAGUGCUGGACGUUGGCGGGUUUACCUGCCGGUGUCGCAGCUAAACGCGUUAAGCACUCCGCCUGGGGAGUACGGCCGCAAGGUUAAAACUCAAAGGAAUUGACGGGGCCCGCACAAGCGGUGGAGCAUGUGGUUUAAUUCGACGCAACGCGCAGAACCGUUACCAGCCCUUGACAUGGGCGGACGGGGUCCGAGAGAUGGACUCUUUCUCGCAAGAGACCGCUACACAGGUGCUGCAUGGCGUGUCGUCAGCUCGUGUCGUGAGAUGUUGGGUUAAGCCCCGCAACGUAGCGCAACCCGUCGUCUCCAGUUGCCAUCGGGUAGAGCCGGGUCACUUUGGAGAAACUG